UCAUACAUGGUGCUUACUUUUGCCAUGGUUAUUUUUAUACAAUAAUAUCAUGGAAGCUUGUAACGUAUGCUGAUCUGGUCUGUUUUUGCAUUAUUUAAUCAAGAGCCGAAAAUUUUAACGUAAUUUUAAAAAAAAAUUAAUUUUUUAAAGUAACGUAAAUUUUUUACAUUUUUAUUCGAUUGAAAUAUUUUUUUUUUCAAAAGUAUAUUUGACAUUUUUUCAUUAGGAAAUGCGAUGAUGAUCAAUUCUAAUUUUUUUUUUGCUGACUUGUUCAUGCUUAUUUUUGGGCUCUUUGAUUACUCAUUUUUUCUGGAGUAAUUUUAUGAUCGAAUCAACCCAGAUGACACCAUAGAUCUGAGAGAAUGCUUGGCUGGAAUUUUACCAUAAUUUUUUUGUUGGAAUAUCGACGACACGCACGUGUCAUUUUUACUCCUGUUCGAUGCCCGAAUUUUUGUGCUUGCAUAUCGUCGAUUCACAAGUGUAUUACAGGAUGGCAUAACUAUUGUGGCGCAGGCGCUCGUACCUAAACAGUGGCGCUCUCUUUGGCACUCUGUGACAUUCAAUAGUGUUCGUGGUGUUCGUCAGAUAGAAUAUUACGGUGCAUUUUUGCCGCAAUGCAAUCACGUUUUACGUUUUUUUUUAUUCCUAAGCACCCUACAAGGGUGUUCUUUUCUGCACGUAAUGCAGUUUUUUUUUUUUUUUUGGAAGUCUCGACAUUAGCUGCGUUUUUUUUUCUGUGUGUGAAUCUAUAGCUCUUACAGGAGCUGAUUAUAUGUGUGUGGUGGUACAUGUGUUUUUUUUUAUUUCGCUGUACCGGCGUGUUUUUUUUAUUGUGUGGCUUCAACGAAAUGCGAAGGUUAACGCCCUAUAUACGAUGAUGUGAAUUUUAUUUUAAAAUGGAUUAGACUUAUCGGGACGAAUAGAGGAUCCGAAAGAAUGCGAUAACGACGAAGGAGACUGGAAUGUGGCCAUUUUGCGAAUCUUCAGCAAUAAUAUUCACAUUAUGACAGGAAUUUCUUGCUGUAGCAUUCUUCAUCUGGAUUUAUAAUAAUUAUUAUCAGAGGCAUUUGCAACAAAAAAAAUGUGGUUCGAGAGACAUUUUGCCAAAUUUCUGAGCCAACUUCGUGUUGAACAAAUACUCGAGAAGAAAAUAUGCAAAACUGUUACCAAUUACCAUGACAUCGGUCGAUUGACUCUGAAUCUACCUCAAGCGUUACGAAGGAUUCGGUUGUUAUUUUGGGAGAACGAGACAACGAGUACUUCGAAACGUUGAAUCAGAUUCCGGCGACGAUGAUUGUACCGUCGAUAUCAAGCAACCUGUAUCUUUCAGCCUCGUUGAAAUGGCACGAAACGAUGUCCACCUACGAGUAAGGUCGAAAAAUUUCCAAGUAAUGUAGAAUCUAGGUAUUACAGUGUUGAAAAAACAAUUUAAUAAUUGUUUCAUUUAUAUAAUGGGUUAAUGAUUAUUGGCGUGAUACGCACACUCGCACAGAAUGGACUCGUACGCACGGCUAGUCGGCUACUACACGGUGAAAAGUACACUCUCAUUCGCACGAAUUGGAAUUAUUGUUCUACGGCAUAUCUCUGUGAGCUGAGCAGUGAGCAGCGUGAUAGCGUACGUAGGUAAUUUUUCGUGUUUUUUUCUCGUCUCUGACGUAUUAAGGCUGGCGUCAUUAUUUCCUAAUUUGUGGAGCUCUCUCGUAUAACGAUCAUUAUUUGUAGGUAUGGCGCGUAUAUGUUGUUGAACUUUGUACGUUCUAUUAAGUAUAUUUAAUACUACAGAAAUGCACGUGAACGCUGAAAUGGUCGUGUUCGUAGUCGUAGCCGUGGCGAUAGCUGGCUCACCGUGAAUCUGUGUAUGUAUGUUCUUUCGUUGGUUGUUCGGUUGGUGGUUUUCUCGAUGGUAUUGUUUCGUUCUAGACAGAUUUUCGAUGAAUUUGUUCAACUCGUGUCGUGUCAACUGGGUCGUCAACGAGCAUUGUGUUGCUAUGGUGAAGAUUCGCAGGUAAUGUGUGCAAAGAUCAGAUUCACUCGAACGUAGAAGCCAGUAGGGAAAAACUAGAGGAAUAGUGUGAAGAAGAACGUCUGUACUGUGCGAAGUUUGUUAUUAAUCGUGCGAAUGUUCAUUGAAGGAAUCAUGUGUUUUAGUUUCAAGAAUAGAAGUUAUAGAAAAAAGGGAGAAAGAUUAACUUAUAUUUAUGAAUCGAGUAAAGAAGAUAAUUAAUAUACGAUAAAGAAUGUGUUUAUCGAUAAAUAAUGUGGAAACGAGUGAGAAAAAAACAACGUGAAGAGAGGGACGUUAUCGGGCCGAACUUUACACCGGAAACAAGUGUUCGUUCGAAGUUUCUUGUGUGCGUAAACGUAUAAACAACAAGGUUUUUUGGAAAUGCUUCACGUUCAGCUUGCCGACACACCGUUAAAGCGUGUUGUGAACCUUAAAGGUAACGUGAAGAUGUAAUCGUUUGGGUUCUUAGAAAUUAUAGCAAAUAAAUUGAAUCGAUAGAGUGAGAAUCUUUCGUAGUGUACGUGUGGCGUUGAUCAGUGUUGGUCUUGUUUCAACUCAGAGUUGGAUUUUUUUUACAGUGUUUUAAUUAAGUGGUUAUCAACUACUAGCGAGAUAAUUGUCGUUUAACGGAAGCAAUUUUUCAACGUUUUUCCUUCUCUUCUUCGAUGAAGAUCGGAUAAGCUCGAAGAAUGCCAGACGCGACUGGCAUGUUGGAAUUCACAUAUCGGAUCGGUUCGGUUACGAUUAACGUGGUGGGAAUAUUGGUCGAGAUCUCGUUCGUAUAAUGAUUGCUCGUUCGAUGAGCUGGCAUUGGCAAAGGUCUUCCUCGAGUAAUGGUUCGAAUUUUGUUGAAAUAGUUGGUAUUUUUAGUUCGGUAACACUGAUUUUUGCGAUAACGGUAACGUUUUGGUUGCAUUUCGAAGUAGUGCAGAAAAAUAUUACUAUUCUUCAUUCUUUUGGUUCGGUUCGAGUCGGUGGAUUGUGAAAAUGUCGAGAGUUCGGUUCGAGAUCUUGUAAUGGUUUGUUUCGAUGAGCUAGUAUCGAUGAAAUUUAAUUCGAUUUCUGUUUUAUUGUUGUUUUGGGUUUCGAAGUCUCGAAGUAUUAACUAUUGUGAUGAAAUGUGAUGUUAACGAUAGAAAUUAAUUCGUGUUUGGAUUUUAUUUUAGUAUCGGCGAUGUGUAGUUAUUAACGAAGUACUCGUUUCAGGUGAAGAUUGCGAAUACGAGUUCGGUGCCAUCAUCUGUUGUUCCAGUGCUAGAAUUCAUACAGAGAUUUGUCUACGAAAACGAUGAAAUUCAAAGCCAACGAGACAUCGCUACGUUAAUCAUUCCAAGUCCAAGUAAAUCUGCGGCGAACCACGUUAGAAAUUGACCUUUAAAAUACUCCUCUCGAAGUGAUCUUAUUCUUAGAAAUUGUCGAUACGUGUGUGUGUGUGUGAGCGAAUGAACGAAGACUUCGCCAAAGCUAAACGAUACGAACAUCUUCAACGAGACGAAGGUAUUAGUCUGAUAAUUGUGUUGUAUCCGUUUAGGUUUCAUUAGAAAGCAUUUUCACUCGAUAAGACACUGAUUGUUUUAUUAAUGUUGGUUGUGGCAGCGACAGCGGUAUGUUGGAUCUUACUCGAACGUUAUCGUGUUUCGGUCUUGUGUGUUUUUUUUUUUGAAAGAGUUUGCAAUUUACCAAGAAUCGAGGUAGCUGGGCGGUAACAUGCGAGGAAUGUGCUGACGAGAUAAUACCAACAUUCAGCGGUAUGGUGCUUAUUUUGCGAAUAGCGAGUAUGUCGAUUACUGACCGGUGUGCGGUUUUAUUCGAUUAGGUGAACGAACCGACGAAUAUGUUAGAUCGGUGCUGGUGAUUUAUUAUAGUAUAGAUACGAUGAGGCAGAGCGAGUUAUAAUGAACGGUUGUGUAUUGUAAAUUUCAUCUUGUGUGUUGCAGUUUGCUGUUCGUUCGAUCCGGUCAACGUAUUCAUCUUUACGUAGCUUCGAUUGACAUUGAUUCGAAACUGGUUUUCACGGUGAUCUGCGGAUUUAUCGAAUGUUCUGAGAUCAUUGUGAAAGCUAAUUUCGUUCAUAUAUUCUACGUUGUGUUUAGUAUUACACUAGGUUACCGGAUACUAUUGUAUAGUGAUCAAUUAACUUUCGUAGAUUUUAAUAAGCAUUGGUAGUUACUAGUUACUUAUGUCUAGACUCUAGUUUAUUAGAGAUUUCGGGUGUUGGAAUCUGAAACUUGAUGUAUCUGGUGUGUACUGUGAAAUUAUACCGAUGUAUGUAUUGUAAUUGCUAUAAUUAGACUUGUACCGUAGAUUAUUACUCUAAAUGAGCCUCUCUAUCGAUCGAUACCUAUCAAUAUCAAAUCGAAAUGCUUCAAAUUUUAUAAUACAGCGAAGAAUUAGAAAAAUUAUUCAAUACCGAAGCUAUGAUAAGUUUUCGAGUUCGACUAGUGUUAUCAGUAUUAAUAUUUCUACCACUAUUUAUAAUCUAUGUUGUGCAUUUUCGAAUCGUAAUCAUGUUGAAAGAAUGCGUAAAUGGUCGUAAGACGAUAAAUUAACGUUUAAUUAUCGUUUAUUAGUAAAUAAAUAAAGAAAAAAUCUAAAAAAUGCAUUCCAUAAAUUUUCUAAAAUCUUCAGAAGUCAGAAAUAUUAAUUUUUUCGUAAUUCUUACUAAUUACCGAAACAUUACGUAAUCGCGGAGGCACCUGUUGCGAAAAAAAACCUCCCCAUCGAUGACCUUUGAUUACGCGAUGAAUCAGCCAAUCGGAAUCCACCCUUACGAUUUUGAACGAUUAUGGUUAUGAUAAAACACGACGUUUCUUGCAGUUUCGUGCUGGUUGUUAAUUUUUAAGUUAUUUCAUUGAAUUUUAGUAUCAUUUAACGUAAAUUAUCGCGAAUUAGUGAUUAAUAUUGAACUAUCGGUGUUUAAAGAUGUUAAUAAUACUCGUAACCGGAUAUUUUAAUUCGAAAUAAUGUAUUAUUUUUAGUCGACGUAGUCGUCCUAUCGAUGUUGGGAAAAUUCCAGCGAUGGCGUUCGCUUAAAACUAUGUCAUUGGAUCGUAAAAAAAAAUGCGUAAGUACUGAUAAACUCAGUGAUUAAUUUAACGGCGAAGCUGACAACGUAUUUAGUUAGAAAUAAGGUGUAAAUUUUAUGAUAUAAGGUACAAUGUGUAGAGAUAGCUGCGACCGUAACCACCGCCGCUGUGCCAUUUUACAGUUUCUUGUUCAACGAUUUGUAUUUGGAAAUGGAAAACCACCAAAUUGCGAUGUACUCGGUUCGAUAAUCCGUAGAGGCGGCCGAAAUUACUGUAUCGAAGAUAGCUCGGUAAUAAAAAAUUAAUAAUCUGUGGCAUAUCGAAUGUGAAGAAGAAAAAAUAGGGGCAUAGGGUAUUAAAAAUUUCAUAUGAGAUGGAAUGUGGCCGGCGGCGGUCUGGCGCUGCUCUACGAACAUCGUUCUAUAAUAUGAUUAUCGAAAACAACGAAUAGACAGUUGAGUCGUUUGAAUUGUUGUAGUAUAUUUACGUGAACUUUGCGCUUUUAUAUUACGGAAUGUAGAAGAAAUUAAUCACGAUUAAUGAAAAUAAUUGCAAUUAAUGGUUCGCGCCGAUUCGACGAUGGUGAAUGCAAGUUUAUAUACUUAUUCUUGUAUGUUAUGGUAAUGUAGGUUGACAAUGAGUUGUGUUUUAUAGGGUCGUUAGUUGAGGUCGAUUUGAGUUGCCAGUUGUGUGUAUGUGUGAGAAAUUGGAAAUAGGAAUCUAGAUUCUGGUUGUGUAUUAUAGAAUUACCAUUACACGAACCCAGCAACGAUGAUGAUCGUAAAGGUAUUAUGGUGAGAUGGUGAAUUGGAAUGGAAUGUGUUUGUUUAGCGCAUUUUUGUGUUUGCAUGCGAAAAGAAAUAAAGAAAAUUCCAAGCUGGGUCGUUGGUAUUGUUGAAGUAGUCUGUGUUUAGCUUAGGUUGUUUGAUAUUUAGUAGGUAAGGUACCUAUAUAGGUACGUAGAAACGAGAUGGAGUAACUUUUAAAUAUUUAGAGUACACUCGAGAGUCGAGACGAUGAAAUGACGAAACGAGCACUUUGGAAAUAUUCCGUUCUCGGGGCUUUUUUUUUCUUUAGUUUUAUCUUAACCGAAAAUAUUCCCAGCUUUGAGAGCUUUUAUCUCUCCGGUGUACCUACUCAGAGGAGAAUUUCAUUACGAAUGAUGACUAAUUUUGAAAAUAAGCUGUGUGUUUUGUUUGGUAGUAUUUAUUCUAAAUAUCUAACAAUCAAAUACAAAUAAAUAAAAAUAGAAAUGCAAGCGACAUCAAACAAUAGUUGUUUAAAUAGGUAUAUGAAAUGUAUAAAAAUAUUUAAAUUAAUAUUUAGGUAGGAGUUUUUUUUUCAACUGAAGAUAGCUCGAGUUGAAAUCAUUGCUUUUGGAAUGAAAGAUGAUGAAUAGUUAUUAAAAAAUAGUUCGGUUUGCGUUAAUGGUGAUUUUUAUGGGUCGAGAAUGAUUCAAUUCUUCCAUGAAAAAAAGAGGUGUUUUUGGGAAGGAAAGUUUCUUUGCACAUUUGUUCGUUGUAUUUUGUGCCAUUUCAGUUCGAUUCGGAAUGAUUUCAAAAAAUGCAGAUUCGAUAAUUAUUUUUAGACAUUAUUUGUUAUAAUUUCAUAUACGAGUAGGUCACGAAUGAAUUAAAUGAAUUUGAUUCUGAGUUCGGCUGAUGAUUCAGUUUGGGCAAUGGGCAGUUAUAAUUUAGUCAAAAAGUAAUUUCUGUAUCCUGUCCUUUUUUUCAGUUAUUUUUAAUU